rnacentral:rRNA from 1 species
UACAGAGGGGGCAAGCGUUAUUCGGAAUUAUUGGGCGUAAAGGGCGCGUAGGCGGCUUUGCAAGUGACGGGUGAAAGCCCUCGGCUUAACCGAGGAACUGCCUGUCAGACUGUAAGGCUUGAGACCGGGAGAGGUGAGUGGAAUUCCCAGUGUAGCGGUGAAAUGCGUAGAUAUUGGGAGGAACACCAGUGGCGAAGGCGGCUCACUGGACCGGAACUGACGCUGAGGCGCGAAAGCGUGGGGAGCAAACAGG